GUUCAGCCUGUCAUAGGAACUGCACAAAAUGAAGAGAUGUCCUGGCAGCCCAGAGCUGCCUGAGGUACUCUUCAUGCCUCUCCUUCUUACUGAUGGUGAAGCAUAUGCAAAAGGGAUGGAUUUGACACAAUAUUGCUUUGUUGAUGUUGUCGUCAGCUCUGUUAGCCUGGAGGAAUUUGCAGCUAUCUUACAACCUUUCCUGUUAUCUCUCUUCUGAGUAAUGCUGUGAAGCCCGUAUCCAUAAUUUCAGAUGCAGUCUAGUGUUUUUCCUUAUUUGUGGCUUAACCGUUGGUCAGAUUUACUGAAUAUUUUUCUUAUUAGAAGUUUGUCUUCCUUUCUUUUUCUUUUUUUUUUUUUUGUCUCUAAAGUCUUUCUGAUUUCUGCCUGCCUUCAGCAGGCAACUAGCAAAGCCUGCUGCCUUCUCAAGGUUGAAAAUCUAAACUUUGCUGCCAUACGUUGUCUACGGGUUAAAUAAUGACUGUGCUGAGCUGAUUAACAGAGAACAUUCAGUUUCCUUAUUGCUGAUGAAAGGGCUGGAAUACUUGUCCAAAUCCCAUUAGUGGAAACCUAGUCAUUGCUGAACUAUGUCAGAUUUUCAGAACUCAUUGAGUAAAAAUGUACAAAUAUGAGGUAUGAAAGAGGAAAAAAAGAACUAUUUUUAUGAGCUGUUUCUGCACGAUUGAAGUUUAUUUUUAAAAAAUGGCCAUAAUCUUUGCUGAUGCAUGGUCAAAAAAUUGUUAUUUAACAUCUUGUCAUUGGAAGGCACACACAGUAUCUUCACAACAUAGUAGCUGUGUGUCUUAUCAUAACAGUCUUCAGCCUUUUAUAACCAAUACGUACCUGGGAAAAAAAAAAACAACAACAACAGAACAAACAGGUCAUCUCCUUAGUAUUCUCUGAUAGGGAUGUGAAUGUAGGCAAACUGAAAACAGCCCCUUUAAGUUGCACUUUUUGGACACUUGUGUUUAGUCAUGCUCAGCUGCCUGUAGGAGCUGGUUAGGACAUGACUGUAUCAAACCCUGUGACACUGAGAGAAGAGAAUAAGCUGUUCUGUUGUUGCCCUUUUUUUUUUUUCCUGCUGUACCUAUUCAAUGAUCCCAUGUGAAUAAUUCAUUCAGACCUAAAGGAGUGCUGAACCCAUGUGCUUCACAGUAGUUAACCAGGAAGAGGAGGAAGGAUUGUCCUGUUAGUAGUCUGAAAUGAUUAGAAGAUCCAUGGGAAUGGAAGCUUUCAGAAGGAGGAAGGGUCAGGUCUGUCUUGGAGAACUCAUCCCCAUAGAAGCAAGAGGGAGGCUGUUCCAGUAACUCCUGUGGGAGGUCUAUCUGGGAAGCCAUCAUUGCCAGCACCGCACUACUCCUGUUCCCAGACAGGAUUUCAGCCCAUUACAAGGACUAGCUCAGCUCCUGGCUCUGGUGCUUUGGUCUGCUAGAAAACUCAGACAUCAAUAAGGCAGUUAAGUUUGUAUAUUGAAUCAUGCAAAGUAUGGAUUAUGCAAAACAGCCCACCUCUAAUUUCGAGUGAAAGGAGAGACAGGUCAACACUUUACAGGACUUUACAGGACAGAACUCUAAGCACUGCAAGAGAUCCUGACACCAGUGAAUGAGUCCAUGCAGCAGAUCAUAAACACAUCACCAAGUCAUGAUAUUGGAACAUCACUUCCUGCCGAUACCUAAAUAUUAAUAAUCAGCCAGAUAACUGAUUAUUCUGUGCUCAGCGAGAAACCUUGUGGCUUUGCAACGUUUCACCCGGCGCGCUGCAACAACCAACAUCUCUGCUGCUGAAAGCUCUCAAACAAAAAUAUUCGGAAUAAACUUCCAAUACUUUGGAACCCUGCCAGUCGUGGGCAUCUUUCAGGAGAGGCAGCAGAUACAGGCUUACUGUCCGUUAUUAUGUUUGUCGUCUGCUGUGGUCCUUGAGGUUGCUUCUCGUAUUUCCAGCGGCCGUAAGACGUUCUUGCAGAGCUUACUGGUUAAUCGGGAUACGUUAAACAAGCUGCGAAGUGCUGUGGGAAACCAUUGCAAAGAUACUUAACAGACUGAUACACUACGCUAUGUCUGUAACCUCUUUCCAUCUGAUAGUGCCGUCGUUUUGAAUGGGCUGUGUGGGAGGCAGCCUGUUGCCCCGACCUGAGCUCAUGCCACAUUUCUCAGGCAGAUGCUUCCGUCUCCCCGACGUAACAUGCAGGCUAGACAAGGCUCACGGGAGGGAAACGUGUGAAGUAAUUCCCAUUCCCCCCUCUUCCAAGUAUGUAACACCGUUGUACUGCUUGUCAGAUAUGUUUUGAGACAAUAGUUUUAUUUUUCUCGUCUAUAACAUCAGGUAUUGUUAUCACUAUCAUUACUAUUAUUACGUAUUAUUGAAACCAGUCUGAAACUGCAUACCCAUAUGCAAUUGCAUCUGAAACACUUAGCUGAGAUGAGAUGAGAUAACCACGGUGCGCGAGGCUCAGCCAGCUGGAGCAAGGGGGCAGAGGACUUCCAAAGAGGAGCUGGGAUGGCGCAUGCAAAAAGCUCGUUAAAUGCGUCAGCUUCCCUCGCUGGAAGAGCAGGAAAGAUCCAGCCUGAGGCCAGGACCCGGCUUUCUGGGUGAGAAGAAGCACGGGAGCACCAAUGCCUGUGUCUGAGUGGCAUUUCCAGCCAAGUUCCUGGGCUGCGUGGCUGAAAUCUGGCAGAGACCACGUACUAAACUUGACCCCAAAGUGGUGUAACAGACCUGUGGCCUCAUCCUUACCCAACUCCAACGCCUGUCUGCACUUGAACUAAAUGUUAAAAAGUGGUAUUUCCUGAGAGCACUGUGAGGAGCCUUAAGGGCUGGCUACCGGGCAUGCAGUGAGAGCCAACAGCUGGCCUGGCCACUCUGCUCCUUAUCUCCAGACUGAUAGCAUCAAAGGUCUCAGCCUGUUCUGGCUGGGGGCUGGCUCUUGCCAGGCAGUGAAUGGCUUAUGAAGGUGCUUCAGCUUAGAUUUCAGGUGGGUUUCAGCACUGAUGCACUCACUGCAGUAGCAUCCCCAUUACUGAGGACUGGAUCCAAUGUAGGAUUUGGAUAUGUGAAGAACAAAUGCCUCAGGAGGAAAGUGGCCAUAAACCACUUGUGGCAGCUGCCCAGCCUGCAUCAGCAGCUUUCUGUGGAAGUUCCCACAAGUGUCUGUAUGAGAGCUCCAGGGAAAACUAUGGAACAGGUCCAGGGAAAAGGAAGGUAACUUUCUUAUAUAAAUGAAAUCAACACAUUUUCACCCACAUUUUUGCUUUUCAUUAAAAUGGAUCCAGCUGUGGAAGCACUAGCAAGGAAGAAUGUGACCUCAGGUCCCUGUUAGAGGGGUGGGAACAAUUGUAGUAAGGGGAAAUCAAUGCAAGAUCUUUUAUGGCCAAUACAGGCUAUAAAUUACAGACCUAGGCAGAUAAAGCAUUUAGAAGUCACACUUGCAGAGCCACGGUGAAGAGAUAACAAAGGAAAACUACACCAAAGUCCCAGUUCUUCAGCACUUAUGAUCUUAAUUAAAGGGUAAUGUAAUCAAUCUGGUGAUUAAUCAUAAACUUUUUAUUGAGGGAGAGUAGUAGGCAUUCCUACCAAAGGCACCAGCGCCCAUUUUGCUAUCAGUCUGUCUAACUCCAUUGCACUGAAUCCUUCCUGCUCUGAAAUAUCUUCAUGGACACCUGUGGACUUAUGUCAAGAUAAGAUCAGCCCAUGGAGAAAAACACAAGAUACUCUACCACCUACCUGGAGUCAAAUAAAUGGAUUCAAAUCCACAUUCCUGCAGGGAGGUGAGAAAUCUGAAUGGCGUGGGUAAUGCACAGCACUGUAUGCAUAAACUACACGUUCCUUAAGGACAUUAAACUUGCAGUCCCUCAGGGGAGGGCAUGAACCAUCACUGCUCCCUGCAGUACACAUGGUGGCACGAGGGACACCAACAAGGGACACCGCCGCCCAUCCUGCUGCACAGCACCGCCACCGAAGGCAAUGGAGGGUCUGGAAAAGACGGAGCGAUUGCCUGCCACAGCCAGCAAGGACAAAGUGGCCAAGAGUUUGUGCAUUCAGAUCCCUGUGGGAGGAUGGGAACAACCCCUCCAAUCCUUCCUCCACGAUCCUGGCUUUACUGCAAGAACCCAGCCACAAAGCUAAGCCGGUCUGUUUACCAACGUAACAGUCAGAGCAAGAGCUUACAUCAUAUUGGAGCAAACAAAGCCUGGGGGGAAAAUACCUCUAACUUAAGGUAUAUUCUGAUGUAAGAGUAAGAGCUAGCAGCAUUUCAGGGUCCUUUUGUAAUAAUAACUCCCACGCUGGAGCCUUAAGCAUUAAUGGUCUGUGAAAGCUAUUAUUUGAUGUUUUUAGCAUUGAAUUUCAUUCUGACAGGACUUCAUGAUACGUAUUACAGAAAAAAUACUGUUAACCUAAUCAUAUUAAUACCAAAUCUUUGUACUGUAAUAGCCUCAAACAUUUAGAGCAAGGCACAAACCUGACUUUUCAUAAAUACAGAAAGACAGAAGUUUUAAUGAUGUUAUUUUCCUACUGCUUCCCCGACUGCAUCUGUUAGAGUCACUAAGACCAAGGACCAUCAUUCCUCUCUUUUACAGACAGAAGAGUGGAAAAGAUGCUUGGCUUUCCAGGGCCGAACCCUGCACUUCUUAUUCCCAGGGACAGCCUCUUCAGGCAUUAUCAAUUUGUCUUUGUCUUUCCCUUUUUAAGACAUGCCUGGCAUAAGUUGCGUCUGAAAUAUAAUUCCUGAUUUCUGCUGCUGCUGACAGUUUAAAUUAUUAAGAGGAAUUUUAAAGUUCUUUUUAGGUCUCUCACUUUUACAUGACAGUUUUCCUUCCCGCAUUUCAGUUGGUUUUGGUAGUCUUGUCGGAGUCAAUUUUUCUUUCUCUUUAUUAAAACAAACUCUACGCUCUCUGCCUUUGAUGAGCUUCUAAAUGCAAAGGAAAGAAAAAAAUAUACAGGUAGUAAAUACUCUGAAACAUUCACCUAUGCAUAUAGUUCAGACAAAGUGAAUCUGCAUCCUCAUGUUGUCAAGAAGGGCCCUUUAAGCUUGAAACGAGAGCAGAUUCUUUCAAACUUUCCCAGAGAAUAGCAGUGACCUUGCAGAUCAGAUAACCCAUGGUCUACAAGAGUUCAAAUAUGUCAUCAGGACUUUAUUUUACUGUUCAGUGUUCCUCAGCCUAGUUGUUCAAGUCAGGCUAAUUCCAACCUCUACACCCCCAAAAAAGCCCUACAGGAGUGCACAAUGCCAGCAGAGCAGAGCUGGGUAUGAGCAAGGAUAAAUGAGGCCGUCUGUCAAAAGCUGGACUGUCAAUGAGAGGCUGCGAUCCGAUGGGCAAACAUAUUAAACCUAAGGAAAAUACUUGUUCCCCUUACUUCAUUCUCUAGCAGGCUGCAGCUCAUGAAAUCCAUCAUGGACUUCACGUUAGUACAGAAAUUGGCUCCAGCACUUCUCCACUGACUCUCGGUAUUAACUGAGACUUCUCCUGUUUUUAUAAGACAAAUACUUCUUCAUGUUGCUGGGGAAGCAACAGUGUUGCUUCCAAUUUGUUGUUGUACCAAUAGCAUUUGUCUCACUGCAGCAUGAGCCACUGCAGGGAAGAAAACCAGGACAGGACCAAUCACUUCCAGCAACACUAACUCUACAUUAGUUUAGCCUCAACUUCAAGCUGUACCCUAAGGCUCCAGCUCAGCAACAGGUAUCUUACUUUUGAGCUCAUGAGUAGUUCUGGUGCACUCAUGUGUUUUGACUUAAGCAUGUGCUUCAACCUCUUAUUGAAUGGGCUUCUAAAUCAUUUGAAAUCCAGCCCCAUUUCCAUCACUGAAAACCAUUGUAUUACAUCACUGGGUUGCUCCAGAAGUAGGGAAAAAAUAUUCUUGGUAUUUCUCGAGACAGUUUUACCGUUGUUAUGCUGCUGUUUUGCUGGGAUUCAGCUUCAGUAAACAGUUCCAGCCCCAGCCUGAAUUCAAAGCCAAAGCUGGGGUUUGAUGAAACGCUUGGGUGCUGGACUGAACGUGCUCCAACUAUACAGGGAUUUUGGAGAGGAGAGAUAAGGUGAGGGCUUUCAAGCAAAAAUGUAGCCGUUCCCCUUUUCCAGAUCCUCCCCUUCCCAGCGCAGUAUUCUGGGAAACUGCCUGCCCGUUUCAAGACCUGCUGCAAUGAGCCCUGGUGUCAUGGUACAAGGCAGGGAAUUUCAGGUUGGAACUAAGUAUCUUUUUGGGUUUGUUUAUUUCCCUUAAAUUGCCUGAAAUCUUGCUUUCCAAUGUCCUACCACUUUCCAGAGACAAUCUGUCAGAGGAUCCCAACCUCCCUCCAUCCAUCCAUGUGUCUCCGUAGCCCAAUGUGACCAUCGCUAGGGGAUUCCAGGGUUGCACCCUCUCUGUUUUUAGCAGCAUGCCAACUAUUCCCCGUUAUCAUCAUGUGGAUGGAGGCAAGACGUGCUGGCAGAGCCUUACCCUUUCUUGAGAGCCUGGGGACCCUACAGCACAGGCAACAGCAGGCUCCAGGUCCUUCCUAGGCCAAGACAAUGCUAGUACCAUGGAGAACCUUAUUCUUCAGAAACAAAGCAUCUCUGAUUCAGCUGUUACUCAAAACAGACAUUCAUGUUUUAGUAGGGCUUUCUGCUUUAACCCAUCUGAAAUGUAAUACCCGUUAACACAGAUGUUAGCACACCUUUGCCUUUUCUUUUUCCCCCAAGAAGAGCCCGCACUUUAAGGUUGUAAGUCUGAGCAAUUCAGUAAAUGAUGCAAAUACAAAUGAAAAUUAGCCAACAAAAGAAAUUCAAUUGAGUUUAAUAGGAGGCUAUUAUCAUACCUCGCAUUCUCUGCUGCCCUGGCACAGGUAGGAACCAACCACAGGGGACGGAACAGCUCUGUCUGCUCACAUAGCGCAUACAUACAAGGCAAACAGCAGCAGAAAACCCGGUUUAUUUGACUGUAGUCAUUAGCGCUACGCAUUACAGGGUCAGUGCCGCUUCGCAGAGCGCUCCGCGUGUCCCCCCGCUCCCCAAGGAGCAGCACCGCACGGGGCCCGACAGAUGUGAGCCCACCGCGGUGGGGUCCCUCCGGCCCUCGUGUCGCUCCGCCAUCCCCGUUCGGCAGCCGAGCUUCCCGAAUCGGGCCUACUGGCGUCAGCGGGGGGGGGUGGGGGGGACUGGGCUGGGCCGCGCCGGCCGGCCGCUGGGUGCCGGCAGGC
ensembl:lncRNA